GUUAAAAAGCUCGUAGUUGGAUUUCGGAGUGGGCCAGUUGGUCCGCCGCAAGGUGUGUUACUGACUGGUUUGCUCUUCUUCGCAAAGACUGCGUGUGCUCUUCAGUGAGUGUGCGUAGGAUUUACGACGUUUACUUUGAAAAAAUUAGAGUGUUCAAAGCAGGCUAUUGCUUGAAUACAUGAGCAUGGAAUAAUGGAAUAGGACUUUGGUCCCAUUUUGUUGGUUUCUAGGGCCGAAGUAAUGAUUAAGAGGGACAAUUGGGGGCAUCCGUAUUUCGUUGUCAGAGGUGAAAUUCUUGGAUUUACGAAAGACGAACAACUGCGAAAGCACUUGCCAAGAGUGUUUUCAUUAAUCAAGAACGAAAGUUAGAGGAUCGAAGACGAUCAGAUACCGUCCUAGUUCUAACCAUAAACGAUGUCGACUAGGGAUCAGCGGGCGUUAUCGUACGACCCCGUUGGCACCUUACGGGAAACCAAAGUUUCUGGAUUCCGGGGGAAGUAUGGUUGCAAAGCUGAAACUUAAAGGAAUUGACGGAAGGGCACCACCAGGAGUGGAGCCUGUGGCUCAAUUUGACUCAACACGGGAAAACUUACCAGGUCCAGACAUAGUAAGGAUUGACAGGUUGAGAGCCCUUUCUUGAUUCUAUGGGUGGUGGUACAUGGCCGUUCUUAGUUGGUGGAGUGAUUUGUCUGGUUAAUUCCGUUAACGAACGAGACCUUAACCGGCUAAAUAGUCAUGCGAUUCUCGAAUCGUAGCUGACUUCUUAGAGGGACUGUUGGUGUUUAACCAAAGUCAGGAA
rnacentral:rRNA from 1 species